GGGGAAUUUUCCGCAAUGGGCGAAAGCCUGACGGAGUGACGCCGCGUGGGGGACGAAGGCCUUCGGGUUGUAAAGCCCUGUCGGGAGGGACGAAACAUCGGCGAUCUAAUACAUCGCCGACUUGACGGUACCUCCUAAGGAAGCACCGGCUAACUCCGUGCCAGCAGCCGCGGUAAUACGGAGGGUGCAAGCGUUGUUCGGAAUUAUUGGGCGUAAAGGGCGUGUAGGCGGCUUCGUAUGUCUGGGGUGAAAUCAUGCAGCUCAACUGCAUCGAGCCUCGGAAACUGCGGAGCUUGAGGCUGGGAGGGGCUGGUGGAAUUCCCUGUGUAGCGGUGAAAUGCGUAGAGAUGGGGGAGAACACUCGUGGCGAAGGCGGCCAGCUGGACCAGUUCUGACGCUGAGACGCGAAAGCGUGGGGAGCAA
rnacentral:rRNA from 1 species